AACGAACGCUGGCGGCAUGCCUAACACAUGCAAGUCGAACGAACCCUUCGGGGUUAGUGGCGCACGGGUGCGUAACGCGUGGGAAUCUGCCCUUUGCUUCGGAAUAACAGUUAGAAAUGACUGCUAAUACCGGAUGAUGUCCUCUUUAGAGAUAUUGGGGACCAAAGAUUUAUCGGCAAGGGAUGAGCCCGCGUAGGAUUAGGUAGUUGGUGGGGUAAAGGCCUACCAAGCCGACGAUCCUUAGCUGGUCAGAGAGGAUGAUCAGCCACACUGGGACUGAGACACGGCCCAGACUCCUACGGGAGGCAGCAGUGGGGAAUAUUGGACAAUGGGCGCAAGCCUGAUCCAGCAAUGCCGCGUGAGUGAUGAAGGCCUUCGGGUCGUAAAGCUCUUUUACCAGGGAUGAUAAUGACAGUACCUGGAGAAUAAGCUCCGGCUAACUCCGUGCCAGCCGCCGCGGUAA
rnacentral:rRNA from 1 species